rnacentral:rRNA from 1 species
AAUCAACGCUGGCGGCGUGCCUCAGACAUGCAAGUCGAACGCGAAAGUCCCUUCGGGGGCGAGUAGAGUGGCGCACGGGUGAGUAACACGUAGGUAAUCUACCUUUGGAUGGGAAGUAACAACCGGAAACGGUUGCUAAUACCGCAUAAUGCAGCGGCUCGACAUCGAGACAGUUGUUAAAGCGGGGGAUUCCGAAAGGAACCUCGCGCCUAAAGAGGAGCCUGCGGCAGAUAGUCUAGUUGGUAAGGUAAUGGCUUACCAAGGCUUCGAUCUGUAGCCGGCCUGAGGAGGGCGGUCGGCCACACUGAC